CCCGGGGUAGGCCGUGGCUCACCGAGUCUGACUGAGCCUGGCGCCGCCUCGAGUCCCGGAAGAAAUCCGAUGUGCGGUGGGUCUACCUGGGCGAGUCCCACGGGCCCUGGUUGAACCUGAGGCAGUGCAGCGGCUGGAGCGAUGCCAAGCUGGCCGCUUACUUGCUGGGACUGGAACGGGAGCAGCCGACCGGGCGCCACGGGAAGCUUUGGGAGCAGAUGCCUUAUGAGCCACAAAGGAAGAAAAUGGUACCUUGGUUCCUGAACAGUUUAGUUGAUGAACAAAUCGGUUCCUGGACGCCACAAAACCAAAAGUGUGAGAUCUGUGGAUACCAAGGCCGGCAGCGAGCUUCUCUCAACUGGCACAUGAAGAAGCAUAGCUCAGAAGCCCAGUACAACUUCACUUGCGAGCACUGCGGAAAGCGCUUCGAGAAAUUGGACAGCGUCAAGUUCCACAAGCUAAAGAGCCACCCGGAUCACAAAGCUGCCUGAUCCUGGCUAUGAACCUCUUUACUGAAUGCCCCAUUACAGGUUCCUUUUAAAAAAUAA